GAUGAACGCUGGCGGCGUGCCUAAUACAUGCAAGUCGAGCGAACGGACGAGAAGCUUGCUUCUCUGAUGUUAGCGGCGGACGGGUGAGUAACACGUGGAUAACCUACCUAUAAGACUGGGAUAACUUCGGGAAACCGGAGCUAAUACCGGAUAAUAUUUUGAACCGCAUGGUUCAAAAGUGAAAGACGGUCUUGCUGUCACUUAUAGAUGGGUCCGCGCUGCAUUAGCUAGUUGGUAAGGUAACGGCUUACUAAGGCAACGAUGCAUAGCCGACCUGAGAGGGUGAUCGGCCACACUGGAACUGAGACACGGUCCAGACUCCUACGGGAGGCAGCAGUAGGGAAUCUUCCGCAAUGGGCGAAAGCCUGACGGAGCAACGCCGCGUGAGUGAUGAAGGUCUUCGGAUCGUAAAACUCUGUUAUUAGGGAAGAACAUAUGUGUAAGUAACUGUGCACAUCUUGACGGUACCUAAUCAGAAAGCCACGGCUAACUACGUG
rnacentral:rRNA from 1 species